GAUGAACGCUCGCGGCAGGCCUAACACAUGCAAGUCGAGGGGUAGAAGGAGCUUGCUCCUUUGAGACCGGCGCACGGGUGCGUAACGCGUAUGCAAUCUACCUUGUACAGGGGAAUAGCCCAGAGAAAUUUGGAUUAAUGCCCCAUAGUAUAUAACCUUCGCAUGUUGGUUAUAUUAAAGUUCCAACGGUACAAGAUGAGCAUGCGUCCCAUUAGUUAGUUGGUAAGGUAACGGCUUACCAAGACGAUGAUGGGUAGGGGUCCUGAGAGGGAGAUCCCCCACACUGGUACUGAGACACGGACCAGACGCCUACGGGAGGCAGCAGUGAGGAAUAUUGGUCAAUGGUCGCAAGACUGAACCAGCCAUGCCGCGUGCAGGAAGACGGUCCUAUGGAUUGUAAACUGCUUUUAGACAGGAAGAAACCCUCCCACGUGUGGGAGCUUGACGGUACUGUAGGAAUAAGGAUCGGCUAACUCCGUG
rnacentral:rRNA from 1 species